rnacentral:rRNA from 1 species
AGCUCCAAUAGCGUAUAUUAAAGUUGUUGCGGUUAAAACGCUCGUAGUUGAACCUUGGGCCUGGCUGGCCGGUCCGCCUCACCGCGUGUACUGGUCCGGCCGGGUCUUUCCCUCUGGGGAUCGCCGUGCCCUUCACUGGGCGCGUGCGGGAACCAGGACUUUUACUUUGAAAAAAUUAGAGUGUUCAAAGCAGGCCUAUGCUCGGAUACAUUAGCAUGGAAUAAUAGAAUAGGACGUGCGGUUCUAUUU